UACGUAGGGUGCGAGCGUUGUCCGGAAUUACUGGGCGUAAAGCGUGCGUAGACGGUUACAUAAGUCGGGUGUGAAAGCCCCGGGCUUAACCUGGGAAUGGCAUUCAGGACUGCGAGGCUUUGAGUGCGGCAGAGGGAGGUGGAAUUCCACGUGUAGCAGUGAAAUGCGUAGAGAUGUGGAGGAACACCGAUGGCGAAGGCAGCCUCCUGGGCCAGCACUGACGCUCAUGCACGAAAGCGUGGGGAGCAAACGGG
rnacentral:rRNA from 1 species